rnacentral:rRNA from 1 species
CCGGCACGGGUGAGUAACACGUAUGCAAUCCACCUGUAACAGGGGAUAACCCGGAGAAAUCCGGACUAAUACCCCAUAAUAUGGGCGCUCCGCAUGGAGAGCCCAUUAAAGAGAGCAAUUUUGGUUACAGACGAGCAUGCGCUCCAUUAGCCAGUUGGCGGGGUAACGGCCCACCGAAGCGACGAUGGAUAGGGGUUCUGAGAGGAAGGUCCCCCACAUUGGAACUGAGACACGGUCCAA